CCAAAACCCACCACAACUCUGGCCAGGCCAACACCCACCACACCAAAACCCAGCCUGACAACCACUGCCACCAAGCCAACAACCACCACGGCCACCACCAAACCAACACCCACCACAACAAACCCCACCACAACCACCAAACAAACACCCACCACCACCACAACCACCACCACCACCAAACCAACACCCACCACAACAAACCCCACCACAACCACCCCUACAUCCAGGCCAAAGCCCACCACAACUAUGGCCAAGCCAACACCCACCACACCAAAAUACACCCCAACUGCAGCUAAGCCAAAACUUGCUGCAGCCACAGCCAAGCCAACACCCACCACCCCAACAUCCACCACCACUACAGCCAAGCCAGCACCUGCUGCUACAACACCAGCACCCGCCACAACAGCAAAGACACAACUGAAAACUGCCACAACCACAAAGCCAGAACCAGAAAGGCCUGAUCCCACUGAGAGAGCCAAGAUCACUCUUUCCUUUGAGCCCACCUUAGACCCAGAUUAUAAAGUAUCUCCAGAGGCAGACACUGGAGAGCCUCUUAGCUCCUUCACUACAGAGGAUCCAGCUUCAUUAGAAAGCAUGGGCACGGCCUUCAGCCCCAGAUCAGUCCCAGAAAUAAAGAAAGGUGUCAAAGAGCAUGGGGAGGAGAAAUCAGCCUUUCCCAGCCCAUCUCCAUCCCUCAGCCAAGCUGUUCCAGAGAUGAAGCUAGGUUCCAAUAGAGCUGAGCUCAUAACCCCCUCCAAGUCAGUGGUCCUCAGCCCUGAAGAGCCCACGUUCUUGCGCUUAACAUCAUCCUCCAAAGACAAAAAAGGGCCAAGCCCCCAUUUCCAGACCUCCCUCUCAGCAGGUGCCCUGGACACAGAACUGGAGACAAACUCAGACCAGACAAGUGUGGAUCAGCCCAAAGGAGGAGCCCCCAGUACCUGCCUGGGCCUUUCGCUCUUCCUCCUCCUCCCCAGUGCCAUCCUGGUGGGCCUUCUGCUCUGAAGGGUCUUCCUCAGCUCUCCCUGCACCCUCCCCAAGGCUUUUGUCAGCGCUGGUUGUUCCACAGCCCUGGCAGGCUCAGGAGCUCCUUGGACAAUUCCCGUGCUCCCUCCUUGNGUGUUCACAGGGGCUUUCAGGUGAGGGAAGAGAUGAGGAUCUGACUCCAUGUUUCAGAAGGCUUGAUUUAUUAUUUUAUGAUAUAUAGUACAUUAAAACUAUACUAAAAAGAAAAGAAGGAAAAGUUUCAUCUCAGAAGGCUAGCUAAGCUAAGAAUAGAAAGGAAUGAAUAAAGGUUUGUGUCUUGGACA
rnacentral:lncRNA from 1 species